rnacentral:sRNA from 1 species
GUCCCGGGUGGUGAGGACGGUGUCUGUGGUUGUCUUCCCAGACUCUGCUUUCUGCCGUCUUCGGUCA